UUUCCGCAGGUGAACCUGCGGAAGGAUCAUUAUUGUAUAACCGAGGUGCGAGGGCUGUCGCUGACCCGAAAGGUCGUGCACGCCCGAGUGCCCUCACACACAUCCAUCUCACCCCUAUAUGCACCACCGCGUGGGUCCCCCUUUGGCUUGUUCGGAGGGGGGCUUACGUUUUCACACAAACUUUGUAUGCAGUGUAGAAUGUAUUUUUUGUUUUUGCGAUCACGCAAUCAAUACAACUUUCAACAACGGAUCUCUUGGCUCUC
rnacentral:misc_RNA from 1 species